rnacentral:rRNA from 1 species
UACGAAGGGGGCUAGCGUUGCUCGGAAUCACUGGGCGUAAAGGGUGCGUAGGCGGGUGGGUAAGUGGGGUGUGAAAUAUCCCAGCUUAACUGGGAGGGGUUAUGCCAGACUGCCUUUCUAGAGGACGGUAGAGGGGGGUGGAAUUCCCGGUGUAGUGGUGAAAUGCGUAGAGAUCGGGAGGAACACCUGUGGCGAAGGCGGCCCCCUGGGCCGGCCCUGACACUGAGACGCGAAGGCGUGGGGAGCGAACGGG